UACGAAGGGGGCUAGCGUUGCUCGGAAUUACUGGGCGUAAAGGGAGCGUAGGCGGACAUUUAAGUCAGAGGUGAAAUCCCGGAGCUUAACUUCGGAACUGCCUUUGAUACUGGGUGUCGUUGAGUGUGAGAGAGGUAUGUGGGAACUCCGAGUGUAGAGGUGAAAUUCGUAGAUAUUCGGAAGAACACCAGUGGCGAAGGCGACAUACUGGCUCAUUACUGACGCUGAGGCUCGAAAGCGUGGGGAGCAAACAGG
rnacentral:rRNA from 1 species